GCACCAUCCCCGGGCUGACCGCUCCUGGCAGCAGGGGUGUCACUGGUGCUGCUCUUCUUGUUCCUCUUGAAGUUGCCUCCGCUGAUGAGCUUGUAAAUCCCGUAGGAAGCUCCGGCUCCGGCAACGAUCCCGAGCAGCGCCUUCAUGUUCCCGAACCGGGGAGUGAUGCUGCCAUCGCCCAUGCUGCCGCUGCUGCUGCUGCUAACUGUAGCCGAGCCCUGCUAGCUAACCAACGUCAAGCUACAGAGGCUCAGACGCGUCAGGAGUCGAGUCUGUGACCUUGCUUGCUAACUAACCCGGGUCAUUAGUUAGCUAACACUGGUGACUACCGAUGGACACUACUAUUAACCCAGCCAGAGAAAUCCAGCCUCCAUGGAAGAAGUUGACUAGUCAGCACAUAAUGGAGAUUAGCACUACCCACACUGGGUUUCCCUAAAGAUCACAGAGAACAAGACGUGUAACAGAUUAAAGAUGGCGAACACACAGCCUGUUCUGGAAGAGAUAGAACUGAACCGGGUUCUGCCACAAUUAUCUAAG